ensembl:snRNA U6 U6 spliceosomal RNA
UUGCUUCAGCAGCACUUAUACUAAAAUUUGGAACAAUACAGAGAUUAGAAUGGCCCCAUGCAGAAGGAUGCCACACAAAUUUGUUUUUUU